rnacentral:rRNA from 1 species
AGAGUUUGAUCCUGGCUCAGGACGAACGCUGGCGGCGCGCUUAACACAUGCAAGUGGAGCGACGAACCAGGGCUUGCCCUGGGGCAAAGCAGCGAACGGGUGAGUAACACGUGGGUAACCUGCCCCGAUGAUUGGGACAACCCGAGGAAACUCGGGCUAAUACCGAAUGUGCUCGCCGGACUCAAGUCCGGCGCGUAAAGGAAGCUUCGGCCUCCGCUUCGGGAGGGGCCCGCGGCCCAUUAGCUAGUUGGUGAGGUAACGGCUCACCAAGGCUUCGAUGGGUAGCUGGUCUGAGAGGACGAUCAGCCACACUGGGACUGAGACACGGCCCAGACUCCUACGGGAGGCAGCAGUGGGGAAUCUUGCGCAAUGCGCGAAAGCGUGACGCAGCAACGCCGCGUGGGGGAAGAAGGCCUUCGGGUUGUAAACCCCUUUCAGGAGGGACGAAGGUUCGGCGGUGAAUAGCCGUCCGGACUGACGGUACCUCCACAAGAAGCCCCGGCUAACUACGUGCCAGCAGCGGCGGUAAUAC